GAUGAAGAACGCAGCGAAAUGCGAUAAGUAAUGUGAAUUGCAGAAUUCAGUGAAUCAUCGAAUCUUUGAACGCACAUCGCGCCCGGUAGUAUUCUGCCGGGCAUGCCUGUUCGAGCGUCAUUUCAACCAUCAAGCCCCAGCGCUUGUGUUGGGGGCCUGCGGCUGCCGCAGCCCCCCAAAAGCAGUGGCGGGCUCGCUAUCACACCGAGUGCAGUAGUUCAUCUUCUCUCCGGUCUUGUGAGGCGGGUUCCGGCCGUGAAACACCCCACUACAUUCAAGGUUGACCUCGGAUCAGGUAGGAAUACCCGCUGAACUUAAGCAUAUCAAUAAGCGGAGGA
rnacentral:misc_RNA from 1 species